GCAUAAAGUUGUUGAUUUAUUGGUUGAUGGGUAUUUGAAUUUGAAGGUUUCUGUUGAGAUACUUAAUCUUUUUUUGAGAAUAUACACGAAGAACGCAAAUGUGGACCAGUGCUUGUUAGUUUUCCAGAAGAUGCUGAGGAAUGAGAUGUUGCCUGAUGUGAAGAAUUGUAAUAGGAUUCUAAGGAACUUAAGAGAUAGAAAUUUAGUUGCCAAGGCGAGAGAAGU
rnacentral:misc_RNA from 1 species